rnacentral:rRNA from 1 species
AACGAACGCUGGCGGCAUGCCUAACACAUGCAAGUCGAACGAUCCCUUCGGGGAUAGUGGCGCACGGGUGCGUAACGCGUGGGAAUCUGCCCCCAGGUACGGAAUAACUCAGGGAAACUUGAGCUAAUACCGUAUAAUGACUUCGGUCCAAAGAUUUAUCGCCUGGGGAUGAGCCCGCGUCGGAUUAGCUAGUUGGUGAGGUAAAAGCUCACCAAGGCGACGAUCCGUAGCUGGUCUGAGAGGAUGAUCAGCCACACUGGGACUGAGACACGGCCCAGACUCCUACGGGAGGCAGCAGUGGGGAAUAUUGGACAAUGGGCGCAAGCCUGAUCCAGCAAUGCCGCGUGAGUGAUGAAGGCCUUAGGGUUGUAAAGCUCUUUUACCCGGGAAGAUAAUGACUGUACCGGGAGAAUAAGCCCCGGCUAACUCCGUGCCAGCAGCCGCGGUAAUACGGAGGGGGCUAGCGUUGUUCGGAAUUACUGGGCGUAAGCGCACGUA